rnacentral:rRNA from 1 species
AACGAACGCUGGCGGCAUGCCUAACACAUGCAAGUCGAACGAGACCUUCGGGUCUAGUGGCGCACGGGUGCGUAACGCGUGGGAACCUGCCCUUAGGUUCGGAAUAACUCCCCGAAAGGGGUGCUAAUACCGGAUAAUGUCUUCGGACCAAAGAUUUAUCGCCUUUGGAUGGGCCCGCGUUGGAUUAGCUAGUUGGUAGGGUAAAAGCCUACCAAGGCGACGAUCCAUAGCUGGUCUGAGAGGAUGAUCAGCCACACUGGGACUGAGACACGGCCCAGACUCCUACGAGAGGCAGCAGUGGGGAAUAUUGGACAAGGGGCGAAGGCCUGAUCCAGCAAUGCCGCGUGAGUGAUGAAGGCCUUAGGGUUGUAAAGCUCUUUUACCCGGGAUGAUAAUGACAGUACCGGGAGAAUAAGCUCCGGCUAACUCCGUG